rnacentral:misc_RNA from 1 species
GCCUUUGGCAACUAAGGUAAUUAUUGGGUUUGUUGUCAUUAGUUUUAUCAGCUUGGUUAGGCUGGUUUGGUUGGUGGCAUAUUCCAUCUUCCACUACCAAUGCAAGAAGAUCCAUGGAGAAGAUCAGGUUGAAUUGCAAGAAAAUGUGGGAUACACUAAAAUUCCCACCACCGCACCAAUACUUAGUGAAAAUAUUCCUUGAUGGGAG